rnacentral:rRNA from 1 species
AACGAACGCUGGCGGCAGGCCUAACACAUGCAAGUCGAGCGAGCAUUUCGGUGCUAGCGGCGGACGGGUGAGUAACGCGUGGGAACGUGCCCUUUUCUGCGGAAUAGUCCUGGGAAACUGGGGGUAAUACCGCAUACGCCCUUUUGGGGAAAGAUUUAUCGGAGAAGGAUCGGCCCGCGUUGGAUUAGGUAGUUGGUGGGGUAAUGGCCCACCAAGCCGACGAUCCAUAGCUGGUUUGAGAGGAUGAUCAGCCACACUGGGACUGAGACACGGCCCAGACUCCUACGGGAGGCAGCAGUGGGGAAUCUUAGACAAUGGGGGCAACCCUGAUCUAGCCAUGCCGCGUGAGUGAUGAAGGCCUUAGGGUUGUAAAGCUCUUUCAGCUGGGAGGAUAAUGACGGUACCAGCAGAAGAAGCCCCGGCUAACUCCGUG